CAGUAGCCGCGGUAAUACGAAGAGUGCAAGCGUUAAUCGGAAUUACUGGGCGUAAAGCGUGCGUAGGCGGUGAGUUAAGUCUGCUGUGAAAUCCCCGGGCUCAACCUGGGAAUGGCAGUGGAUACUGGCUCGCUAGAGUGUGUCAGAGGAUGGUGGAAUUCCCGGUGUAGCGGUGAAAUGCGUAGAGAUCGGGAGGAACAUCAGUGGCGAAGGCGGCCAUCUGGGACAACACUGACGCUGAGGCACGAAAGCGUGGGGAGCAAACAGGAUUAGAUACCCCUGUAGUCCCUGUCUCUUAUAC
rnacentral:rRNA from 1 species